UAAUACGUAGGGUGCAAGCGUUAAUCGGAAUUACUGGGCGUAAAGCGUGCGCAGGCGGUUCGGAAAGAAAGAUGUGAAAUCCCAGAGCUUAACUUUGGAACUGCAUUUUUAACUACCGAGCUAGAGUGUGUCAGAGGGAGGUGGAAUUCCGCGUGUAGCAGUGAAAUGCGUAGAUAUGCGGAGGAACACCGAUGGCGAAGGCAGCCUCCUGGGAUAACACUGACGCUCAUGCACGAAAGCGUGGGGAGCAAACA
rnacentral:rRNA from 1 species